UGCCAGCAGCCGCGGUAAUACAGAGGGUGCGAGCGUUAAUCGGAAUUACUGGGCGUAAAGGGUGCGUAGGCGGCUAUAUAAGUUAGGUGUGAAAUCCCUGGGCUCAACCUGGGAAUGGCGCUUAAAACUGUUUAGCUAGAGUAUUGUAGAGGUAAGUGGAAUUUCCGGUGUAGCGGUGAAAUGCGUAGAUAUCGGAAGGAACACCAGUGGCGAAGGCGACUUACUGGACAACUACUGACGCUGAGGCACGAAAGCGUGGGGAGCGAACAGGAUUAGAUA
rnacentral:rRNA from 1 species